rnacentral:rRNA from 1 species
AUACGUAGGGUGCGAGCGUUGUCCGGAAUUACUGGGCGUAAAGAGCUCGUAGGUGGUUUGUCGCGUCGUCUGUGAAAUUCCGGGGCUUAACUCCGGGCGUGCAGGCGAUACGGGCAUAACUUGAGUACUGUAGGGGAGACUGGAAUUCCUGGUGUAGCGGUGAAAUGCGCAGAUAUCAGGAGGAACACCGGUGGCGAAGGCGGGUCGCUGGGCAGUAACUGGCGCUGAGGAGCGAAAGCAUGGGUAGCGAACAGGAUUAGAUACCCUGGGAGUCCAUGCUGUAAACGGGGGGCGCUAGGUGUAGGGGUCUUCCACGACUUCUGUGCCGUAGCUAACGCAUUAAGCGCCCCGCCUGGGGAGUACGGCCGCAAGGCUAAAACUCAAAUGAAUUGGCGGGG